CACCGCAGCCCCAGCCUCUCGAGCCGCCGCGGCUUCUGCAUGUCAAGCCGGCAGCCGGAAGUACGCACCCCGCCUCGCCGCGAGCUCCGCCCUCUGAGAUCUGGGUACAGAGGCCUAAAAACAGAACUCCAGCCUUCAUGGGAACCUCGGUUGUUCCCAUGGCCCUUCUCUUGGAAGUGAGACUCAGCCUUGUUGGAAGGCACUGACCCUGUGGGCACAGUUCUCAAGGCCUCAGCUUGAAGCACCUGGUGUAGUCUCCACUGCUGACGCUGCAUGCUGCUAGCUUGGCAUUUCUGAGAAGUCUGGAUGUGUUGUCCCUGAGCUCGGCUCGUCACUUGUCUGUUCUUGCUCUGAGCUGAGGCUGAUUCACUCCCAGCUUCCCUCUGCCCUUCUCAGGAAUGCUUUGGGGCCUGAGGAUGUGGCGUGGUUGGCAGAGGUCUCGCCAGCAUGUGGGAAAGCACUGAGCCCAGCCCCCAGCACCACUAUCUCCCACCACCACCGGGGCCUCUGGCAGGGCGCUUCCAUCCAAUCCUGUUUCAGAGGAUGCAGCUCCAGAGACCUCAGAAGACAGAGGCUACAGCUUCACUUUUCCCAACUCAGUCAUCCAAUGAAAGUGUCUUCUUUUGAACUCAGAACCUGAACACUCUUGGCACCUCUGAAAUAGCGACAUCUAGUCCUGGACCUAAACAAAGUUUGAGAUCUCUACCCUGGGUUCCAUGAUACCUGCUUUGGGCUAGGUCCUUUACAAAGCAGUACGAUGAAGUUAAGGGUCCCUGGAGUUACCCAGGCUAAGCUCAAAGGUCACCAGGGCCAGCCACCUCCCUGCAGGCCCCAUGGAGAAGUCAUUAAGCAGAAUGUCAGCCUCCUCCCUCUCCUGUGGCUCCAAAUAAGUGAGGAGAGAGUGUAUGCUGCCCUCCACUCCCCGAAGUCCAGCUGCACUGGAGAAGAGGGACCUGGACAUCAUGCAGACAGACUCGGAACCAGA